GGCUCAGUGGUCUAGUCGAAUGAUUCGCGCUUUGGGUUCUUUUUCAAAAAUGCGCGAGGUCCCGGGUUCAAUUCCCGGCUGAGCCC